CGAGUUUGAUCCUGGCUCAGAAUCAACGCUGGCGGCGUACCUCAGACAUGCAAGUCGAACGAUUAAAGCUCUCUUCGGAGAGUGUAUAGAGUGGCGCACGGGUGAGUAACACGUAAGUAAUCUACCCUCGAGUGGGGAAUAACAACCGGAAACGGUUGCUAAUACCGCAUAAUGCAGCGGCACCGCAAGGUGACAGUUGUUAAAGAUUUAUCGCUUGAGGAGGAGCUUGCGGCAGAUUAGCUAGUUGGUAGGGUAACGGCUUACCAAGGCUACGAUCUGUAACCGGUCUAAGAGGACGGUCGGUCACACUGACACUGAAUAACGGGUCAGACUCCUACGGGAGGCAGCAGUCGGGAAUUUUGGGCAAUGGGCGAAAGCCUGACCCAGCAACGCCGCGUGAAGGAUGAAGUAUUUCGGUAUGUAAACUUCGAAAGAAUAGGAAGAAUUAAUGACGGUACUAUUUAUAAGGUCCGGCUAACUACGUG
rnacentral:rRNA from 1 species